GGGGCAGUCUCUCUGUCAAAAUGCUGAGCUUAAGCCUCUCUCUCAGUCCAGCUCCUCGCUUCUAUUCUUUCUUCCCCGAUAUACCGACCCAAAUCCUCUACCCUAAUUCACCGGUUGUUCUUAGUCUCCAGCGAGAAAUUAGGGUUCGAAUUGGGGCUCGCUCUUCAGUUCUCCAAAUCUGCCUCCAACUCCAUCUACCUAGUCGAUAAUCAAAGCUCCGCUUUGCAUUACCCAAAUCAAUUCAAGGCUUCUCGAUCCGCUGACCCGCCAAUUCGCCAGACGGACCCAACUCAGUUGCUUCCACAACGAGAACCAACCCGCUCUCUCCAAGGAUGAACAAGGCCCGCCUCAGGAGGUCGUUCUCAAAGCUAUUUCAGGUUUCGUUUUCAGGGAAGCUUCAACCUUUUUGAAAGUCGAAGGCACUGACAGAGCUCAUUAUCUAGCCAAGAAUUAUUGACGAGAGCACCAAAGGAUCUUGUUGAACCCGAAAAAGUUCUUAAAGCAGCCCAAGUCAAACUCGUCCUCACCAAUCAAGUCACUCAUCACCAUUGUUGAGUUACAGGAAGUUGCUGUGAAGAAGUUCCUAGACCAGGAUUUCUUGGGUGCUGCUUUGGCUGAGUUCAAAAGAGAAAUUUUAACAGACCAUGUUAUGGGUUGGCUCUGCACAAGUUUUUGACAGUUUUAGCUGCAAAGUAGUGCAAGAGCAUUGGCAUGUGAGUCAUAGAUUGCCUCCGCAUUUGCAACUUAGAGAUGAUCUCUAUUAGAACUUUGUCAAGAAAUGAGGACCCACAAUUGGAAGAAGAUAAACUACUUGGCACAGGUAUACCAGAAUGUCUAAAUGUGGAAUCUCCUCCUCAGUGCAGAAAUGCAUAUCAACCUAUCCCAAGCCCUGUAUUUUUAUGGAUGAGAUCGAUGCUAUUGGUGGACAGCGUUUUAGCUAAGGGACCAGUGCAGACCAUGAAAUCCAGUGAACACUCAUGGAGUUGCUUAACCAGUUAGAUGGAUUUGAUCAACUUGGGAAGGUACUUGAGUUCUCGUUGAU